UACAGAGGGGCAAGCGUUGUUCGGAAUUACUGGGCGUAAAGGGCGCGUAGGUGGCCUUCUAAGUUGAACGUGAAAUCCCUGGGCUCAACCCAGGAACUGCGUCCAAGACUGGGAGGCUUGAAUCCGGGAGAGGUGAGUGGAACUGCGAGUGUAGAGGUGAAAUCGUAGAUAUUCGCAAGAACACCAGUGGCGAAGGCGGCUCACUGGCCCGGUACUGACGCUGAGGUGCGAAAGCGUGGGGGAGCA
rnacentral:rRNA from 1 species